UCAAGAUGCAACCCUCCGGGAUUCCAUCUUGAGAAACUGGUGAGGAACCAGGAGUAUGCUGUGGCAGCCUCAAUUGGUUUGGAGUGUUUGGUACUUUGAAGGAUACUGGAAUGUUGUGGGAUACCUUUAAGCGUGAAAUUCAAAGCUGCUGAGGAGAGCGUCCAAGGUAUAUCUCCAACGAAAUACAAAACAAAAAGUAUUUUUAAUUAAUUUUACUGCAAGAUUUUUUCAGCAGCAAAAUUAGUGCAAUAAACAUUUCAUACAAUAAAACUGCAGUAUGUACAGAAAGUUCACACAUCAUUCUCUCUCUCUCUCUCUCUCUCUCUCUCUCUCUCUCUCUCUCUCUCUCUCUCUCUCUCUCACAAAUGCAUAAAAUUUCAGCUUGGUCUGAUAGAUGGGAGAUGCCCUCUAAUAUAGAUAAGUGCCAGGUUCUUCAAGAUGGAACAAAAAAUAAGAGGUUAGAUUACGAUACGCAUGGCGUUAAAUUCAAAAGGGUUCAGUGCGUCAAGGACCUGGGUGUCAAAAUCGCGACAAACUUCAAAUUCUCACAGCAAUGCACUGAUGCAGCAAAUAAAGCGAACAGAAUGCUGGGCUUCAUUUAGAAACUUUUUAUUAAAAAACAAAGAUUUAAUACUCCUGCUACACAAUAGUUUAUUCAGACUGCACUUGGAAUACGCAGUACAGUUUUGGUCUCCCCAACAUGCAAAGGACAUUGCUAAAUUAGGUGUUCAGCGUUGGGCAAAAAAAAUUUAUCUUCCUUGCGUAACAAACCUUACGAUGAAAGGCUCUCAACUCUUAGCAUGUUUUCUCUUGAGAAAUGUCGCCUCCGAGAAAAAUUGAUAGAAUAUAUUUUAAAAUAUUUAAUGGCUUUACGAAUGUGGACAAAUCAAAAUUGUUUACGAUCGAUGACACUUUGCGAACGAGAAAUAAUGGCACAAAACUUAAAUGUAAACAAGUAUAUUCAGACUGCACCAAAUUUUUCUUUGUUGUAGUGCGAGAAUGGAAUAAGCUCCCACCUUCAGUGGUCUGGUGGAACACAAUUGACUCCUUUAAAAACAAGCUCAACCAACACUUCCUUCAACUUAAUAUUUACCAAAGUAGAAAUGCAAAGAUUUUGGCAUCAUUUGAUUAACAGAAUUUCACUUAGGUUUAAGGAGACAACCUAGUCUGGACCAUAGGGUCUGUGUGGUCUGAAUAUAUAUGUAAAUCACCCUAACAUUGCACUCAACACUGCUAACAUCCCCCCCUUCUCUCUCUCUCUCUCUCAUAAUUUAUAUUUUGUUGCAUCAUGGUUAUAAUGGCUGUGUCAAGAUGCAAAGUGAGUUCGUGGAAGCAAUCGGCUCGUGUCAGCUUGGGUCAGUUGGAGUGUUGCCGCUCUUGAGGGAUUUAACAUUUAUUUUGGUCAAGAAAAUAUCAUAUUUUUACUUAUAUUUCUUCAAACUAUCUUAUAAAUAUAGCUGUUACAUUCCUUACCCACCUUAGAACUGCAGUGAAAGUCAAUGAAAGUAAUAACAUUUUCUUCGCACCAAUGAAAAAUAUGUAUGCCACGUUUCUUUAUGCUGUAUUAAUACCUUAUGUAUGUGUUUAAUUUUCUUUGAUAUAUCAUAAUAUUUAAGUUAAAAUUGUAUUGGUAUGUGUUUUAUCUUAUUAGUGAUGCCUUUUACAUAUAUCACAGAAGUUACACAUUGCAGGCUUGGAAGACAUGGCAUGAUGGACAUUGUGUUGCCCCGCCUUGACCCCUUCCCAGCCCUCAUUUAGGAACAGUGCUUCUAUAGAAACGUAUCCCCCUACAGACUUGCAUCCUACUAGAAGGGACUUGGGAUGGAUAGGGCAGCUGCGUGGGAGCUUGCACAGGGGACUGUUGAGAGUGGAGUGACAUAUUACACAUCUGAGUGCCACGACCAAGAGUCAUUGGAUUCAAACAAGGGGUUCCCUGCUAGCAUUAGGACUGAGAUGGCACAACACGCUUUCUCUUGGUCCGACGCCGUGUGGUCUCCAUCAUUGGGUAUUGUGGGGAGAUCUCACGGAAUAUGUCUGCUUGCUCCUCCUCAGGAAUUGUAGCUCUGUUGAUGAAGCACAGAGAAAAAAUAUUAUACAAAAAUUCAAGAUAUUCAAAUUCAAAAUAGCA